AGAGUUUGAUCCUGGCUCAGGACGAACGCUGGCGGCGUGCUUAACACAUGCAAGUCACGGGGGCCCGCAAGGGUAACCGGCGAACGGGUGCGUAACACGUGAACAAUCUGCCUAGAUGUGGGGGAUAGCCGGCCCAACGGCCGGGUAAUACCGCAUACGCUCUUCGGGUGGCAUCACUUGAAGAGGAAACCUCCGGGGCAUCUAGAGGAGUUCGCGGCCUAUCAGCUAGUUGGUGGGGUAACGGCCUACCAAGGCAAUGACGGGUAGCUGGUCUGAGAGGAUGGCCAGCCACAUUGGGACUGAGAUACGGCCCAGACUCCUACGGGAGGCAGCAGUGGGGAAUAUUGCGCAAUGGCCGAAAGGCUGACGCAGCGACGCCGCGUGGGGGAUGAAGCAUUUCGGUGUGUAAACCCCUGUUGCCCGGGACGAACAAGCGAUUUUGAUCGCUCUGACGGUACCGGGUGAGGAAGCACCGGCUAACUCCGUGCCAGCAGCCGCGGUAAUACGGAGGGUGCGAGCGUUGUCCGGAAUCACUGGGCGUAAAGGGCGCGUAGGCGGUCUGCUAAGCGUGUGGUGAAAGCUCGGGGCUCAACCCCGAGUCUGCCAUGCGAACUGGUGGACUAGAGCACUGUAGAGGCAGGUGGAAUUCCGGGUGUAGCGGUGGAAUGCGUAGAGAUCCGGAAGAACACCAGUGGCGAAGGCGGCCUGCUGGGCAGUAGCUGACGCUGAGGCGCGAUAGCGUGGGGAGCAAACAGGAUUAGAUACCCUGGUAGUCCACGCCGUAAACGAUGGGGACUAGGUGCUUGGGGGAGCGACCCCUCGAGUGCCGGCGCUAACGCAUUAAGUCCCCCGCCUGGGGAGUACG
rnacentral:rRNA from 1 species